GCUGUGCAAAUCCAACAACCUCAUGCCAUUAACUCAAGAUGUUUCGAGACAUUGUUAACUCAAAGAUGUUGGUUGGAGCCUUUUCCAAGAGGGGGAAAAACUGCAGAUCAAAUCACAGAAGGCAAGAAAACGGACAAGCAAACUAGCAAGUACAGGGAUUCUGUGGGUGUGCCCAGCGUCGAAUACGCUGUUCUUUUUUUUGGAUACCUAAGGUGGUGAACAGCCAGAGCCAGGAUGGGGUUCAACCCUCCGGUGCCGCAGCGGGACAGCAACUGGGAGAUACGCGUCGCCGUCCUCCUCAGCCUAGUGUUCCAGGUCGUCCUCAUCUUUGCCGGCCCGC